GGAGUGUGCAAGCGUUACUCGGAUUCACUGGGCAUAAAGCGCGCGUAGGCGGGUUUUCAAGUCGGUUGUGAAAUCCCUCAGCUCAACUGAGGAACUGCAUCCGAUACUGUCUGUCUUGAGGACGGGAGGGGAGAGUGGAACUUCUGGUGGAGCGGUGAAAUGCGUAGAUAUCAGAAGGAACGCCGGUGGCGAAAGCGACUCUCUGGCCCGUAUCUGACGCUGAGGCGCGAAAGCUUGGGUAGCAAACGGGAUUAGAUACCCCGGUAGUCCAAGCCGUAAACGAUGAGCACUAGGGAGAGGAGACCCCGAUGUCUUCUCUCCUGGAGCAAAUGUAUUAAGUGCUCCGCCUGGGGAGUACAGUCGCAAGGCCGAA
rnacentral:rRNA from 1 species